GCAAUCAUUUCUUUAUUUCUGCAAAAACAAUAUUCUGUCUGAAUCUUAACCGACCACUUUCUGACAUCCGUGUGUAGACGGUGACCCGAAAAAAUACUUGGCCUACUACAGAAGAGCCACCGUCUACCUGGCCACGGACAAGUCUAAAUCCGCUUUACUGGAUCUAAGCAAAGUCAUCGAGUGUCAUGAUUUCCCCUUGAAGCAGCGUGCUCUAAGCGCGAAUGCGCGAGCACCUGCUUUUCCGUUGUUGACAGUAGUGACAUCUGGACACGUGUGUUUUGUUUAUGUUUCUGUCAUGUCUCCUCCCUGUUCUGUCAUUGGCUGGGAUUUCACGUGUGUCUGUAUUGCCCUCAGCAAGUUUAGAGGCUGAUCAGUUUAGACGCUGAUCAUGUCCACAUAUAUACCGCGCGAAUCCCAGCACACAACGCGGAAGAUUAUCGUAGAGUUAGAUUGGUUUGUUUAGUAGUCAUAGUCACGGUCCAUGUUUAGAGUUCGUUCACGCUGGAUUAUCCGCUCCCAGUUCCUCGUCAUAGUUGAUGUUUCUCGUUUAGUUUAUCGACCCUGUUUUCCGUGACACGACCUUGAUUCAUGUUUAACCCUGUGUAUGCCUGUUUGCCGAUCGCCUGACCUUCGCCUGUUUUGGAUUAUGUUUUGGAUUUGUCUGCCUGUCUCUCUUUUAAAAUAAACAACUGUUCAUACUGCAAUUGCAUCCGUCCUAUCUCCGCUCCGUCACGAUACGUGACAUCGAGUUAAACCUGAUUUCACAUCGGAUAGCCCAGAAGAAGCUCAUUAAAGCCUACAGGAAGUUGUCACAGCAGUGACACCCAGACAACUUCCAGGAUCCUGAAGAGAAGAACAAGGCUGAGAAGAAGUUCAUAGACAUCCCACAGGCCAAGGAAGUGCUCACUGAGCCAGAAACGAGGAGUUCAUUUGACAAGGGUGAAGACCCAAUGGACCCUGAGAGCAAGCACGGAGAAGGCCAUCACCAUUUCCACGGGGCCUGGGAGAGUUUCCAGGGCUUUAACCCUUUUGGCUCUGGACUGUUCAACUUUAAAUUCAACUUUAACUGAGAUCAUCCAGGAGGACAUCAGUCUGAUCUGAAUAUAUAGCAUCAGGCAUCCAGCGAGAAGUGUAACCUGUUGAACCUGUUUGACACUAACUGCCAUAGAUGUGGCUACAGAAGCCACUGUGGCAUGAAGAUGCAUCAUAUGCUGUUGAAUAUUCUCAGACUUGCCAAGCUGAGCUAAGUGGUAUUAUAUAAAGUAAUUAUUUCAGGGACCAUCAGAGUGUGGGGGUUCAUUCCCAAGCAACCAACUAUCCUAAAACUAUUGUGUGUGUGUGUGUGUGUGUGUGUGUGUGUGUGUGUAGGAGACUGCACUAUUUUUCUAUCAGUUAAAUAAUGCUGCAUUGUAAAUACACAAUUAAAGAUAUUACGUAUUUAAUUAAAAAGAAAGUGACAUUAUUCUCGGAUUUCG